ACACCGCAUGUCUCGCUGUGCUCUUCGGGGUCAGAUUAUGGCAUACUGCAAUAGCCUGAGAGAUCUUCUGGAAGAUUUUCCUACCAUCAGGGAUACCUUUUUCAUGGUCGGGCAACCACAAGAGAAGAAGGGGUUGAAGGACUUCAAGGAGGGCCUCAAGGCUGACCCCAGGGUCUGAGCUUCAAGAGCUGCAGAACAUGAUUGACAGCCUCCAGAAACCCCAAGACCCCACCCGGGUAGCCCAGGCACUCCUUCUCCGCACAGAGGUUAUGUUUUUGCAGUUUGACGCUGCAGUGAGGCAUCGCAUCCGGUAAGGGCUGGGGCACUAAUCCUGUUUAAGGAACAUUUUUGGCAGCUGGAAACGUUCCUGCCUAUCAGUCUGUCACAGACAACAUGUACCAUGGGCUACCGGCACUGAGCAACUCUCUCAGGAAGAGCAUUUUUUGCCUCGCAGUUCCACCUACCCCAGCCACUGGAUCCAUGGAGCCUCCAGGCAUUUGAGCUGGUCCCUUGGAGAACAUUUCUGGAAGAUGGAGGACCAUUCCCAGUUAUGAGUAGCAGCCCAGAUACCCUAGAAUAUAAUAUGCAGGUAGGAUAGGUCUUCUCCAUUGUUGCAGAGGGAACUGAAUGCAGACUGCAAAGAUAGGUGCCAUUGGGUCCACAGGUCAGAUCCUCCUACUCUCACCCAUGAUGAAUAAUGUGUAAGAUAAGCAGGGUGUUUGACUUUUGAAGCUAUAAACCCUGGACCACGAGGUGAGUCACAUUUUCUUAUGACACAAGGGAAGCUUGCUCUCAACUGGCAUUGGCCUGGGCUGUAGACUCAGCUGCAGUUCUUGUGGCAGUCGUGAUCUGAGAAUGGUCAGUCAUCUCCAGUCAUGGGCUGAGCGUCCUAGAGAAACUCCCAGGCUGGUGGCUUAGAGGUGUGUGACUCCUGACCUGUCCAUAAACAGUGGUGGGAAGGGAACUUUUCAAAACAGGACUCAUAGGGAGAAUUUCUUUUCAUUGCUUUCUUUUUCACUGUUAACUUCUUUUAAAUUGUUAGAUUCUUUUCAUUAUUAAACGUUUUUCCCU